rnacentral:rRNA from 1 species
UGCUUUGCUGACGAGUGGCGGACGGGUGAGUAAUGUCUGGGAAACUGCCUGAUGGAGGGGGAUAACUACUGGAAACGGUGGCUAAUACCGCAUAACGUCGCAAGACCAAAGAGGGGGACCUUCGGGCCUCUUGCCAUCAGAUGUGCCCAGAUGGGAUUAGCUUGUUGGUGAGGUAACGGCUCACCAAGGCGACGAUCCCUAGCUGGUCUGAGAGGAUGACCAGCCACACUGGAACUGAGACACGGUCCAGACUCCUACGGGAGGCAGCAGUGGGGAAUAUUGCACAAUGGGCGCAAGCCUGAUGCAGCCAUGCCGCGUGUAUGAAGAAGGCCUUCGGGUUGUAAAGUACUUUCAGCGGGGAGGAAGGUGUUGUGGUUAAUAACCRCAGCAAUUGACGUUACCCGCAGAAGAAGCACCGGCUAACUCCGUGCC